rnacentral:rRNA from 1 species
AUUGAACGCUGGCGGCAUGCCUUACACAUGCAAGUCGAACGGCAGCACGGGAGCAAUCCUGGUGGCGAGUGGCGAACGGGUGAGUAAUAUAUCGGAACGUGCCCGGUCGUGGGGAUAACGUAGCGAAAGCUACGCUAAUACCGCAUACGAUCUACGGAUGAAAGCGGGGGAUCGCAAGACCUCGCGCGAUUGGAGCGGCCGAUAUCAGAUUAGGUAGUUGGUGAGGUAAAGGCUCACCAAGCCGACGAUCUGUAGCUGGUCUGAGAGGACGACCAGCCACACUGGGACUGAGACACGGCCCAGACUCCUACGGAGGCAGCAGUGGGGAAUUUGGACAAUGGCGCAAGCCUGAUCCAGCAAUGCGCGUGACAGGAUGAAG